CGGAAAUAUUAAAAUAGAAAAGAGAAGUUUAACAGUGUUGCCACACCAAAACCUUUGGAACGCUUUUUACUGUGCCCGAGUCUGGCUUCUGGAGCGGAUCACGCCGGUGGGAACUCCGUACCCUGAAACGGACCAGAGAACCAUGGUCUUGGCACAGUUUAUCAAGACCUUGGAGCGGUUCUCUUGCAGUGUGAAUGCAUUUCCACUGUACCAUACGAUGUGAUGUAAGAUGUAACAAGCCGUUGCACAUGCAUGACGCUGUCUGGUCCAGUCUAAAGAUCUCUGUGUGAAAGUAAAUCCCACCAACUGAAGAAGAUACACCUGGCUUGGCUCUGUGUUCAGCUGUGGCACUUGCCUGGAGUGGGGUAUCGGCUGAGCUACUACUGCUGACAACUUAAUGUUCUUCUUCUACAGAUGAUGUACUUGGCCCUGUUUUGCAUGCUGGGUAUGAGGGAUUGCUGCAACGUCCACGACACAAUGCAAGCGACUCUCUACUGCUCAUCCAGAAGGAGUGAAUGCUGCAUGUCACUGACCCGAUCCAAUCUGCUUAGAUGGAAAACUAUGUAAUAAUAAUAAGAAUAAUAUUUGUAUAAAAUAAAUUAUAACCACUAGGUUAUUCAAAGUCCUUUACAAUGAGUAAAGUAAAAUAAAACACAAGCAAUAAAACAGUGUUAGGAUAAUAUAUAAAUAAACUAAAUUGAACUGAA